AGCUGUUCCCCUCUGGAGGUUUAAAUUACCUUCACAUCUAAAGGGCCCGAGUUUUCUCGUGGCCCUCUUUUUUUGUCCUGA
rnacentral:sRNA from 17 species